rnacentral:rRNA from 1 species
CCCGCCGGCGACCGGCGCACGGGUGAGUAACACGUAUGAAACCUGCCCGUAGCAGGGGGAUAAGCGGAAGAAAUUCCGUCUAAUACCGCGUAACAACCCAUGGAGGCAUCUCUGUGGGUUUAAAGGAAGCGAUUCCGGCUACGGAUGGUCAUGCGUCGCAUUAGCUUGUUGGCGGGGUAACGGCCCACCAAGGCGACGAUGCGUAGGGGUUCUGAGAGGAAGGCCCCCCACACUGGUACUGAGACACGGACCAGACUCCUACGGGAGGCAGCAG